AGCGAACGCUGGCGGCGUGCCUAACACAUGCAAGUCGAGCGAGAAAGGGGGCUUCGGCCCCUGAGUACAGCGGCGAACGGGUGCGUAACACGUGGGUGAUCUGUCCUUGAGAUGGGGAUAACCCAGCGAAAGUUGGGCUAAUACCGAAUAAGACCACAGGAGGAAACUCCCGGGGUUAAAGGGUGCUUCCUUUGGGGAGCAUCCGCUUGAGGAGGAGCCCGCGGCCUAUCAGCUUGUUGGUAGGGUAACGGCCUACCAAGGCGAAGACGGGUAGCUGGUCUGAGAGGAUGACCAGCCACACGGGGACUGAGACACGGCCCCGACUCCUACGGGAGGCAGCAGUGGGGAAUAUUGGGCAAUGGGGGAACCCCUGACCUAGCGACGCCGCGUGGGUGAUGAAGGCCUUCGGGUCGUAAAGCCCUGUCGGGAGGAACGAACGCUCUCAAGGCAAAUAGCCUUGAGAGGUGACGGUACCUCCGAAGGAAGCACCGGCCAACUCCGUGCCAGCAGCCGCCGUAACAC
rnacentral:rRNA from 1 species